UCGAGAAGUCCCGCGUCGCCGUCCGGAGCUCUUCCACCGUGAACGCCAGCACGUCGGACCCCGCCAGCGACAGCGACAGGUCUAGGUCCUCCGGCGACGGCAGCGGCUCCGGCGGCCUCGAGCUGGAGGCCACCUUCGCGGCGUUCCUCGAGCCGCCGGAGCCGGAGUCGCCGGAGCGGGCGGCGUGGGAGGAGCUGAAGCAGCCGAGGCCGAACAGCGAGCUCCACGACGUCGACGACGACUUGGGCUUCCCCAUGCGAGCGUGCGG
rnacentral:lncRNA from 1 species